rnacentral:misc_RNA from 1 species
CGCACAUUGCGCCCGCCAGUAUUCUGGCGGGCAUGCCUGUCUGAGCGUCAUUACACCACUCAAGCCUGGCUUGGUAUUGGGCGAGGAGGUCCCCUCCCGCCCCAAUUUCGUCGGCCGGACCGUCCGUAUCUCAGCGUUGUGGUAUUAAAUUCGCUGGUGAGAAGGACGGUCUGCGCCGUUAAAAUGUUUAUUAAGGUUGACCUCGGAUCAGGUAGGGAUACCCGCUGAACUUAA